AAAAUAGUGAACCAAAGGGAACAAAAUUUCAGAGAAACCACAACAGGGUCAAUUACAAUGACAGCUGAGCAAAGAAUAAUAAAGGUGGAAAGAAAAUAAGAAUAUUAUAAGAAGGAGAAAAAUAAUGUCAGCUGACUAGAGGAAGGAAGACUGAUUUUGAGAGGAUACAGGGAGGACAAAUAUUAAGAGUAAAGGAUAGGAACAAGGCAUAGUGUGGUGGGAAAUAAAAUUUA